GGGACAAAAACAAAACAGAGUCCAAUCCCGCACGCAACCUCCUCCCCGUUCCUCUCUGCCCUGCGCCGUCCCCAUCCUCUGUAGAAGGAGCACGGCUCUCGUCGAUGUGCCUGGUGGGGAUCCGGUGCAUCCCCUCUCCGCUCGCCUCCUCCUCUCCUGGGUCCCUGCGUUGCCGGCUCAGCCGCUUCUCCUGCAUCUUCUCCUCCCUGCUUCUCUCCUCCUAGUCGAGUCCUGGACCAGAUCGGCGUCCGGCGCAGGAGGCUCGGGGUGGUCGCAGGUUCGGGCGCCAUUUCCUUCCUUCCCGUACACUGGGAUCAAACAGCCCGCGGCCUGGCGGUGCCGGCCUGGAUCCGGAGGCAGAUGGACCAGAUCCUGGAGCCGGGCACGAAGGAGCUCGAGGUCGACGACUCCGGCUUCGUCCUCCUCCUCUGACGUCGCCACCUUGCUCAGGUCCAACACGUCUAUCCAUCGCCCCAGUUUUUACCAUUUCGUCAUGAUUACCAUCCCACGCCAUCCAUAGGGUGUGCCUUCUGCCCUUCUCACCACUCUGAACUCGGAGCAAGUGGAAUUUGGGUUGGGGAAGUUUUUCGAGCUCGAAAUUAAACCCAGUUCUAGAAUAGUAGAUGCUGGUGCUGAGAUGGUCGGUAGGCAGUGGCACUCAUAGGUCUCCAUUGCUUCAAAUCUAUUUGGUUUUAGGUGAUUUGGCACCCAAAACUCACAACACUGUUGCUACACAUCAGUUCAGGAAUCAAGGCAAAUAGCGGUAUUUCCCUUUGGGGUGAAUGGACGAACUGAUUAUGGGAAGACCAACCAAGUAGUUUAUACAAUACUCACAAUUUCUCACACUUCCAGCGAAUUAAACUGACGAUUAGAUGUGCCUUCUCUCAUUCGUACAUUGUUUGGGGGUUUGGUUUGAGAAGUGGGUUGCAGCACUCAUGAUUUUGCUUGUUUCAGGGAUGGAAUGAAUUGGGGGUCACCAUCUAACACACACACACACACACACACACAGAGGGAGAGAUAGAGGAUAAUUCUGUUUAUUACGUCAACCAUGUAGUAGAAACCAGAUAGAACUAAACAGCUAGGGUUUUGAAGUUGCCUCGGUAGCUGAAUCAUGGUCCAUGAAUUUGUGUAAAACGACAAGUGCGCUACUGAAUUAAAAUUCUACCUGUUCAUUCCAUUGCCCAGUUACCAUCUGAGAGGUUCUUUUUUGCCACCGCAACUCUAAUUAGAUUGUUAUAGUUCAGACUAAGGGGAUCAAGAUUAGUCAUCUGUUAGCUAUGUACUAUGGACCUCAACACUAGCUGAGUAGCUACGUAGCUAAUCAUUGAUCUUGUCUUGGGUGAAAGGCUGGCGUUUGUUAAUUCAGAUACUGAAAGGUAACCCACACUGACUUUAUUUGUUUACUUUCCUUCUGAAAUCUUAUUUGCUUAGCUUCUAUUGACGACAUUUCUAAUCUUUUAUCUUCGUCGGUAAACUCAACUGCAUCUCAGUUUUCUGUUCCCAUUUCCUGGAUUGCGGGUCCUGAUGCGCAAGAUUCUUCUGUUUGCUAUGGGUCCUGGACGAUGGCAAGCAUUGACGUGCGUACGCCGUUGCAACAGCCACACCUCAACCCUCCCGACGCACGCAAUAAUCAGCGGUGCCAAAAUGAUUUGGUGUUUGCAAAGGUCGCUUUUGUUGCAUUUUCUACGUGAGAAACCAUCUCAGGCUAUUUGGAUGCACCUGCACAGUACUGAUAGUACAUGAAAUUCAUCAACCUGCUGUUGCCGCAACCAACCAAAAUUUGCUCUAACAGAGUGAUGAAUACAAUAUGCAUGCUAAGCUUUCUUCAAAUUAUGCUAAUUGAUCUUAAAAAGCUGGCUACUGGUGUUAUUUGCUGCAAUUUAUUUCUGACAGCCAGGUAGUCUUGGAAUGCUUUCGUAAUGCAAUUUAUUUCUGAUAGACAAGCUAUGCUAAUUGAUCUUGAAAAGCUGGCUACUGGUGUUAUCUGCUUUGUGGAAGGCUGUUAGCAUUAAACUUUAGUGCUCGCCUGUUCAUCAUAGUCUCAUUCCCUAGAUAAUUAAUGAGGCAUGAAAAAUAGGUGAAAUUGCAGGAAAAUUGAAGAUGGGAACACGAUUCAUUUUGUCAAUGGGAACAUCUACUGUUACAGAUACACUUUCUGUAUUCUACCUAUCGAUGGCGUAAUGUUUGAAUAUCAAGUCAUUUCUUUUUGUCAUUAGCAGUUGCUUUUAUUUAUGUUCAUAUUCCAAGUAUGCAUAUGCUGCUCCGGUGGUGUUUUAUUAGUUGAUUGGCAUAUAUGGAUCUCUCCAUGUUUAUUAGUUGAUCUCCAACCCCUACUCUGCUGUGGUUCUGUGGGAGCAAGAAGAGCAUGCAUGCUUUCUCUCUACAUCUAGGGUCCAUACGGCCAGAUUGACGGGCCUAAACUCUGGCUCAAAGGUUUCUUUCAAGAAUCAUGAGAGAACAUUCAAGGAGUGGAUUAUUUGGAAAUUAGAACCUUCAGAUUUCUUAGAAGUGAGGUUACUUUCCAACUAGAAUUAUAGGCAAGCAUUGGUCUUUAAUUUGGAAGUGAUUAUCAUGUCUAAGAAGGGAGAUCAACCCGGUUUGGUGUACAUGAUCUUCACUUGGAUUUAUGUGAAUAUAAGCGUAAGAGGUCUAGUGGCAAUGCUACAAAAUCACUGCAGGCGUGAGUAUCCGGAUUGCACUGCUGCUAGCCGUUUCUUGCGAUUGCGUACAACAGGCUUCUGACAAAGCCAAGUCAUGGCCUCAUUAGGCCCCUUUUUCCAGCCAAACUGAAAGCACUUCAUGAUAUAAUAACGUUGUAGAUAGACGGAGACUGAAUCAGUUGACACUACUUUGAUGUCUAUCGAGCCAAUGGGACAACAAAGUCCUUGCAGAAAAGAAGAACCGGAAGCAGGUUAUCUAUCUUCACGAGCAAGUUGGCGUCUGUAAACCUUCACCGGAGCCAUUCCAGCUCUUUCAGAGCCACAAGGCAAGGAAGUUGAGGAACCAAGACCCCAACGGUGCAGAGCAGUUUGCCAUCGAGAGGACUAGGGCUGCCAUAAGGGACCUGUAGACCAAGCUCAACAUCUCCCUCGUGCCUCCAUCAACACCGUGUCCUGGAGGGUCGUCGCCGUCCGCGACGACGAGCUACUGCCGCAGCUUUGCCAGCCGCACGGUUAGAGGGAGGCAUCAAGGGCCUGCCACCGCUCCCGGGGCCGAUGUGCGUGUAAUUUCUAUUAAUGUAUCUUAUGUUGCCAAACAACAACAUGCUCCUGUCAAUGCUAUAUCAUUGUGGGCGUGGCAUUUUUCUUCCUCAGGUGAUAUUCCAAUAUACAAUAAGUUCCAUCAAGAAUUGCAUGUACAUGUGCUGCUAUCCUGAUCCAAAAAGGAAAGUAAAAAGGGCGUUCAUCUACC